rnacentral:rRNA from 1 species
CGGAGGCAGCAGUGAGGAAUAUUGCUUAAUGGGCGCAAGCCUGAAGCAGCAACGCCGCGUGUGCGAUGAAGGCCUUCGGGUUGUAAAGCACUUUUAGCAGGGAAGAGGAAGGACGGUACCUGCUGAAUAAGCCUCGGCUAACUACGUGCCAGCAGCCGCGGUAAAACGUAGGAGGCGAGCGUUAUCCGGAUUUACUGGGUGUAAAGCGCGUGCAGGCGGUUGGUUAAGUUGGGUGUGAAAGCUCCUGGCUCAACUGGGAGAGGUCGCUCAAGACUGGCCAACUGGAGAGCAGUAAGGGAAGGUGGAAUUCCGGGUGUAGUGGUGAAAUGCGUAGAUAUCCGGAGGAACACCAGUGGCGAAGGCGGCCUUCUGGACUGCUUCUGACGCUCAGACGCGAAAGCUAGGGGAGCAAACGGGAUUAGAUACCCCGGUAGG